GCUGGCGGCAAGCUUAACACAUGCAAGUCGAGCGGUAGCAGAUCUAGCUUGCUAGAUGCUGACGAGCGGCGGACGGGUGAGUAACGCGUAGGAACCUGCCCAGUAGUGGGGGAUAGCCCGGGGAAACUCGGAUUAAUACCGCAUACGCUCUACGGAGGAAAGAGGGGGCUUCGGCUCUCGCUAUUGGAUGGGCCUGCGUGAGAUUAGCUAGUUGGUGAGGUAAUGGCUCACCAAGGCGACGAUCUCUAGCUGGUCUGAGGGGAUGAUCAGCCACACUGGGACUGAGACACGGCCCAGACUCCUACGGGAGGCAGCAGUGGGGAAUAUUGCACAAUGGGCGCAAGCCUGAUGCAGCCAUGCCGCGUGUGUGAAGAAGGCUUUCGGGUUGUAAAGCACUUUCAGUGGGGAGGAAGGCCUCGUAGUUAAUAGCUGCGAGGAUUGACGUUACCCACAGAAGAAGCACCGGCUAACUCCGUG
rnacentral:rRNA from 1 species